ACAGAGCAGUCUGUCUCCGAGUGGGC
rnacentral:piRNA from 1 species